CAUGGGUGAUAAGGUCCGUGUUCGAAAGGGAAACAGCCCAGACCACCAGCUAAGGUCCCAAAAUAUAUGUUAAGUGGAAAAGGAUGUGGCGUUGCCCAGACAACUAGGAUGUUGGCUUAGAAGCAGCCAUCAUUUAAAGAGUGCGUAAUAGCUCACUAGUCGAGUGACACUGCGCCGAAAAUGUACCGGGGCUAAACAUAUUACCGAAGCUGUGGAUUGUCCUUUGGACAAUGGUAGGAGAGCGUUCUAAGGGCGUUGAAGCAUGAUCGUAAGGACAUGUGGAGCGCUUAGAAGUGAGAAUGCCGGUGUGAGUAGCGAAAGACGGGUGAGAAUCCCGUCCACCGAUUGACUAAGGUUUCCAGAGGAAGGCUCGUCCGCUCUGGGUUAGUCGGGUCCUAAGCUGAGGCCGACAGGCGUAGGCGAUGGAUAACAGGUUGAUAUUCCUGUACCACCUAUAAUCGUUUUAAUCGAUGGGGGGACGCAGUAGGAUAGGCGAAGCGUGCGAUUGGAUUGCACGUCUAAGCAGUAAGGCUGAGUAUUAGGCAAAUCCGGUACUCGUUAAGGCUGAGCUGUGAUGGGGAGAAGACAUUGUGUCUUCGAGUCGUUGAUUUCACACUGCCGAGAAAAGCCUCUAGAUAGAAAAUAGGUGCCCGUACCGCAAACCGACACAGGUAGUCAAGAUGAGAAUUCUAAGGUGAGCGAGCGAACUCUCGUUAAGGAACUCGGCAAAAUGACCCCGUAACUUCGGGAGAAGGGGUGCUCUUUAGGGUUAACGCCCAGAAGAGCCGCAGUGAAUAGGCCCAAGCGACUGUUUAUCAAAAACACAGGUCUCUGCUAAACCGUAAGGUGAUGUAUAGGGGCUGACGCCUGCCCGGUGCUGGAAGGUUAAGAGGAGUGGUUAGCUUCUGCGAAGCUACGAAUCGAAGCCCCAGUAAACGGCGGCCGUAACUAUAACGGUCCUAAGGUAGCGAAAUUCCUUGUCGGGUAAGUUCCGACCCGCACGAAAGGCGUAACGAUUUGGGCACUGUCUCAACGAGAGACUCGGUGAAAUCAUAGUACCUGUGAAGAUGCAGGUUACCCGCGACAGGACGGAAAGACCCCGUGGAGCUUUACUGUAGCCUGAUAUUGAAAUUCGGCACAGCUUGUACAGGAUAGGUAGGAGCCUUUGAAACGUGAGCGCUAGCUUACGUGGAGGCGCUGGUGGGAUACUACCCUAGCUGUGUUGGCUUUCUAACCCGCACCACUUAUCGUGGUGGGAGACAGUGUCAAGCGGGCAGUUUGACUGGGGCGGUCGCCUCCUAAAAGGUAACGGAGGCGCUCAAAGGUUCCCUCAGAAUGGUUGGAAAUCAUUCAUAGAGUGCAAAGGCAUAAGGGAGCUUGACUGCGAGACCUACAAGUCGAGCAGGGUCGAAAGACGGACUUAGUGAUCCGGUGGUUCCGCAUGGAAGGGCCAUCGCUCAACGGAUAAAAGCUACCCCGGGGAUAACAGGCUUAUCUCCCCCAAGAGUUCACAUCGACGGGGAGGUUUGGCACCUCGAUGUCGGCUCAUCGCAUCCUGGGGCUGUAGUCGGUCCCAAGGGUUGGGCUGUUCGCCCAUUAAAGCGGUACGCGAGCUGGGUUCAGAACGUCGUGAGACAGUUCGGUCCCUAUCCGUCGUGGGCGUAGGAAAUUUGAGAGGAGCUGUCCUUAGUACGAGAGGACCGGGAUGGACAUACCUCUGGUGUACCAGUUGUCGUGCCAACGGCAUAGCUGGGUAGCUAUGUGUGGACGGGAUAAGUGCUGAAAGCAUCUAAGCAUGAAGCCCCCCUCAAGAUGAGAUUUCCCAACUUCGGUUAUAAGAUCCCUCAAAGAUGAUGAGGUUAAUAGGUUCGAGGUGGAAGCAUGGUGACAUGUGGAGCUGACGAAUACUAAUCGAUCGAAGACUUAAUCAAAA
rnacentral:rRNA from 1 species